rnacentral:lncRNA from 1 species
GCCGCCGCUGCAGCUGGCUGGGCGUCCCUGCCGCGCCCGAGCCGUGGCGGGGAGAGGUCCGCCUAGACCGGCGCGUCUCGCUCCCCGGGAGGCGGCGGCUGGGCCCGGGGCGGCGCGGCCGUGACAGCGCUAGCGCGGGGCGCGGAGGACGCGGACACGGGAGGAGCCGGCGCCCAGCUGCCCCGGGACGUGGCGGGGCGGCGGGCGGGAGGAUGUGCAGCGCCCUCCGCACGGCCGCCGCGGUGCCCCCCUGUGCGCCGACCUGGGCCCGGGCGGCUGCCCGAGCCGAACCCGCGCCGCGGGAGCGCGCCCUGCCUCCCCUGGCCCCGGCCCUGCGGGGGAGUGCGGGCGACGCGCCCUGAACUCCGCUACUUCUGCAGCCCGCGCCCGAGCCAGAGCUGCGGACCCGCCCCAGACCGCGAGAUAAUCAGGUACCCACUGGUGGACACUCUGGUGGCUUCUCUCCUCCACGGUACUGUGGUGUACACUGCAGGCGUCCCAUUGGCCAGUCCCAACAGCACUGGAAGUCAGCACUCCACCACGUCUAUUCUUCUUGAAAGCUUCACUAUAUAUGUUCAAAACUUUCUGGGUGAGCAUAAGGAUUUAAAGGGCUUGAAGCUCCAUGGCACUGCACCUGGAGAAUGAAGGAGUGGGUGGAUACGUCAUAGACGGGCAUUUGGCCACCAUGAAAAUUAGGUAAGGAAAUUAAGGCACAAAGCAGCUAAUAAGAAAUCAUUCAGGUCAGUACCAGGGUUAACACCAGGUGAAUGAUGCCAGUUUACCAUCCAAAUCUCCAUUCAACACUGCUUCACACACAAGCUUAUACCACAGCCUCUGUCACCUGCCAAGCUGCACUGUACUCUGUUCCGUGAGGAUUUCUCUUUAUGGAUGACACUGUUACACACCAGGUUUGUCUUGCCAAGGGAGCACAGUGGCAGGCCCCAGCUUUUCCUCAGAAAACAGUGUCAUGCACACACAUACCAAACUGCAGUUUGAGAUUAUUCAUGAUGACCCCAUACUCAAAGGGCUGCAAUAAAGUGACCUUCACCACCCAAGAAUCUAUUCAAACAACUAAUAUAAAUGUUAAAUGGAAGGCAGACAGAUGGCAAUAUCAGCCACAGAAAAGCUCUUUGUCCUUGCUGGGGACUGAUACUCUGUUUUUAUCUAGAUUGUGCAUGUGCAUCUGCGAGAUAUCUUCAGAGUGGUGAAGUUCGAGGACACCAAAGAGCUCCCUAUACAGCUUUGAAUUAAAAUGGC